GCCCGCCUAGCUCAAUCGGAUAGAGCGUCAGACUCUUAGGCAGGGUAUAUCUGAAGGCUGCGAGUUCGACCCUCGCGGUGGGCU